AUCAGUGUGACAUAGUGGUUUGAGCGUUGGACUCGGACUCUGGAGACCAGGGUUUGAUUCCCUGCUCAGCGA